UUAAGCGACUAAGCGUACACGGUGGAUGCCCUGGCAGUCAGAGGCGAUGAAGGACGUGCUAAUCUGCGAAAAGCGUCGGUAAGGUGAUAUGAACCGUUAUAACCGGCGAUGUCCGAAUGGGGAAACCCAGUGUGAUUCGUCACACUAUCGUUAACUGAAUACAUAGGUUAACGAGGCGAACCGGGGGAACUGAAACAUCUAAGUACCCCGAGGAAAAGAAAUCAACCGAGAUUCCCCCAGUAGCGGCGAGCGAACGGGGAGCAGCCCAGAGUCUGAAUCAGCUUGUGUGUUAGUGGAACGGUCUGGAAAGUCCGACGGUACAGGGUGAUAGUCCCGUACACCAAAAUGCACAGGCUGUGAACUCGAAGAGUAGGGCGGGACACGUGGUAUCCUGUCUGAAUAUGGGGGGACCAUCCUCCAAGGCUAAAUACUCCUGACUGACCGAUAGUGAACCAGUACCGUGAGGGAAAGGCGAAAAGAACCCCGGCGAGGGGAGUGAAAAAGAACCUGAAACCGUGUACGUACAAGCAGUGGGAGCACCUUCGGGUGUGACUGCGUACCUUUUGUAUAAUGGGUCAGCGACUUAUAUUCUGUAGCAAGGUUAACCGUAUAGGGGAGCCGCAGGGAAACCGAGUCUUAACUGGGCGUUAAGUUGCAGGGUAUAGACCCGAAACCCGGUGAUCUAGCCAUGGGCAGGUUGAAGGUUGGGUAACACUAACUGGAGGACCGAACCGACUAAUGUUGAAAAAUUAGCGGAUGACUUGUGGCUGGGGGUGAAAGGCCAAUCAAACCGGGAGAUAGCUGGUUCUCCCCGAAAGCUAUUUAGGUAGCGCCUCGUGAACUCAUCUUCGGGGGUAGAGCACUGUUUCGGCUAGGGGGUCAUCCCGACUUACCAACCCGAUGCAAACUACGAAUACCGAAGAAUGUUAUCACGGGAGACACACGGCGGGUGCUAACGUCCGUCGUGAAGAGGGAAACAACCCAGACCGCCAGCUAAGGUCCCAAAGUCAUGGUUAAGUGGGAAACGAUGUGGGAAGGCACAGACAGCCAGGAUGUUGGCUUAGAAGCAGCCAUCAUUUAAAGAAAGCGUAAUAGCUCACUGGUCGAGUCGGCCUGCGCGGAAGAUGUAACGGGGCUAAACCAUGCACCGAAGCUGCGGCAGCGACACUAUGUGUUGUUGGGUAGGGGAGCGUUCUGUAAGCCUGCGAAGGUGACCUGUGAGGGUUGCUGGAGGUAUCAGAAGUGCGAAUGCUGACAUAAGUAACGAUAAAGCGGGUGAAAAGCCCGCUCGCCGGAAGACCAAGGGUUCCUGUCCAACGUUAAUCGGGGCAGGGUGAGUCGACCCCUAAGGCGAGGCCGAAAGGCGUAGUCGAUGGGAAACAGGUUAAUAUUCCUGUACUUGGUGUUACUGCGAAGGGGGGACGGAGAAGGCUAUGUUAGCCGGGCGACGGUUGUCCCGGUUUAAGCAUGUAGGCUGAUUGUCCAGGCAAAUCCGGAUAAUCAAGGCUGAGGUGUGAUGACGAGGCACUACGGUGCUGAAGUAACAAAUGCCCUGCUUCCAGGAAAAGCCUCUAAGCAUCAGGUAACAUCAAAUCGUACCCCAAACCGACACAGGUGGUCAGGUAGAGAAUACCAAGGCGCUUGAGAGAACUCGGGUGAAGGAACUAGGCAAAAUGGUGCCGUAACUUCGGGAGAAGGCACGCUGGUGUGUAGGUGAAGCCCCUGCGGGUGGAGCUGAGACCAGUCGAAGAUACCAGCUGGCUGCAACUGUUUAUUAAAAACACAGCACUGUGCAAACACGAAAGUGGACGUAUACGGUGUGACGCCUGCCCGGUGCCGGAAGGUUAAUUGAUGGGGUUAUCCGUAAGGAGAAGCUCUUGAUCGAAGCCCCGGUAAACGGCGGCCGUAACUAUAACGGUCCUAAGGUAGCGAAAUUCCUUGUCGGGUAAGUUCCGACCUGCACGAAUGGCGUAAUGAUGGCCAGGCUGUCUCCACCCGAGACUCAGUGAAAUUGAACUCGCUGUGAAGAUGCAGUGUACCCGCGGCAAGACGGAAAGACCCCGUGAACCUUUACUAUAGCUUGACACUGAACAUUGAGCCUUGAUGUGUAGGAUAGGUGGGAGGCUUUGAAGCGUGGACGCCAGUCUGCGUGGAGCCAACCUUGAAAUACCACCCUUUAAUGUUUGAUGUUCUAACGUUGGCCCCUUACCGGGGUUGCGGACAGUGUCUGGUGGGUAGUUUGACUGGGGCGGUCUCCUCCCAAAGCGUAACGGAGGAGCACGAAGGUUAGCUAAUCCUGGUCGGACAUCAGGAGGUUAGUGCAAUGGCAUAAGCUAGCUUGACUGCGAGCGUGACGGCGCGAGCAGGUGCGAAAGCAGGUCAUAGUGAUCCGGUGGUUCUGAAUGGAAGGGCCAUCGCUCAACGGAUAAAAGGUACUCCGGGGAUAACAGGCUGAUACCGCCCAAGAGUUCAUAUCGACGGCGGUGUUUGGCACCUCGAUGUCGGCUCAUCACAUCCUGGGGCUGAAGUAGGUCCCAAGGGUAUGGCUGUUCGCCAUUUAAAGUGGUACGCGAGCUGGGUUUAGAACGUCGUGAGACAGUUCGGUCCCUAUCUGCCGUGGGCGCUGGAGAAUUGAGGGGGGCUGCUCCUAGUACGAGAGGACCGGAGUGGACGCAUCACUGGUGUUCGGGUUGUCAUGCCAAUGGCACUGCCCGGUAGCUAAAUGCGGAAGAGAUAAGUGCUGAAAGCAUCUAAGCACGAAACUUGCCCCGAGAUGAGUUCUCCCUGAGACUUUAAGUCUCCUGAAGGAACGUUGAAGACGACGACGUUGAUAGGCCGGGUGUGUAAGCGCAGCGAUGCGUUGAGCUAACCGGUACUAAUGAACCGUGAGGCUUAACCUU
rnacentral:rRNA from 3 species